GACCUGGUGGUGAAUGGAUCACACCCACUUUCCUUAGUUGUCUUCUGUCAGCCGGUUGGAUGUAAGGUGGGAGUCCCCGGUUCGAUUCCGGGUCAGGUCA